rnacentral:rRNA from 1 species
GAUAAACGCUGGCGGCGUGCCUAAUACAUGCAAGUCGAGCGAACGGACGAGAAGCUUGCUUCUCUGAUGUUAGCGGCGGACGGGUGAGUAACACGUGGAUAACCUACCUAUAAGACUGGGAUAACUUCGGGAAACCGGAGCUAAUACCGGAUAAUAUUUUGAACCGCAUGGUUCAAAAGUGAAAGACGGUCUUGCUGUCACUUAUAGAUGGAUCCGCGCUGCAUUAGCUAGUUGGUAAGGUAACGGCUUACCAAGGCAACGAUGCAUAGCCGACCUGAGAGGGUGAUCGGCCACACUGGAACUGAGACACGGUCCAGACUCCUACGGGAGGCAGCAGUAGGGAAUCUUCCGCAAUGGGCGAAAGCCUGACGGAGCAACGCCGCGUGAGUGAUGAAGGUCUUCGGAUCGUAAAACUCUGUUAUUAGGGAAGAACAUAUGUGUAAGUAACUGUGCACAUCUUGACGGUACCUAAUCAGAAAGCCACGGCUAACUACGUGCCAGCAGCCGCGGUAAUACGUAGGUGGCAAGCGUUAUCCGGAAUUAUUGGGCGUAAAGCGCGCGUAGGCGGUUUUUUAAGUCUGAUGUGAAAGCCCACGGCUCAACCGUGGAGGGUCAUUGGAAACUGGAAAACUUGAGUGCAGAAGAGGAAAGUGGAAUUCCAUGUGUAGCGGUGAAAUGCGCAGAGAUAUGGAGGAACACCAGUGGCGAAGGCGACUUUCUGGUCUGUAACUGACGCUGAUGUGCGAAAGCGUGGGGAUCAAACAGGAUUAGAUACCCUGGUAGUCCACGCCGUAAACGAUGAGUGCUAAGUGUUAGGGGGUUUCCGCCCCUUAGUGCUGCAGCUAACGCAUUAAGCACUCCGGCUGGGGAGUACGACCACAAGGUUGAAACUCAAAGGAAUUGACGGGGACCCGCACAAGCGGUGGAGCAUGUGGUUUAAUUCGAAGCAACGCGAAGAACCUUACCAAAUCUUGACAUCCUUUGACAACUCUAGAGAUAGAGCCUUCCCCUUCGGGGGACAAAGUGACAGGUGGUGCAUGGUUGUCGUCAGCUCGUGUCGUGAGAUGUUGGGUUAAGUCCCGCAACGAGCGCAACCCUUAAGCUUAGUUGCCAUCAUUAAGUUGGGCACUCUAAGUUGACUGCCGGUGACAAACCGGAGGAAGGUGGGGAUGACGUCAAAUCAUCAUGCCCCUUAUGAUUUGGGCUACACACGUGCUACAAUGGACAAUACAAAGGGCAGCGAAACCGCGAGGUCAAGCAAAUCCCAUAAAGUUGUUCUCAGUUCGGAUUGUAGUCUGCAACUCGACUACAUGAAGCUGGAAUCGCUAGUAAUCGUAGAUCAGCAUGCUACGGUGAAUACGUUCCCGGGUCU